AUGAAGCCUCUCCCGGUGACCCUGGCUCUCCUGGCCCUCUUCCUCGCCGCCUCGUACCAGGAUCUCGCCGUGGCUGCUGCAGAUGCAGAUGCAGAUGGAGUCGGCAGCGGCGCUCCGGUCCUGGACAGCGUGUGCGAGGGCAAGUGCAAGAACCGGUGCUCGCAGAAGGUGGCCGGGCGGUGCAUGGGGCUGUGCAUGAUGUGCUGCGGCAAGUGCGCCGGCUGCGUGCCGUCGGGGCCGUUGGCCCCCAAGGACGAGUGCCCCUGCUACCGGGACAUGAAAUCACCCAAGAGCGGCCGCCCCAAAUGCCCCUAG
rnacentral:rRNA from 1 species